GAGCAGAUGAUGUUAUAUAUUGAUAUAUUAUCUGAUUUCUCUAUGAAGCUUCAAAUAUUGAGCUUUUUAAAACUGAUGCUUA
rnacentral:snoRNA from 1 species